GCUAUUUUUUUUUCUAAUAAAAAACCCUAAAUCGUUACAGUCGUGGCAUCUGAAGAACCUAUCCUCUAAUCUUCAUUUUUCCUUCAAGAAAAACCCAAAUCCACCACACAAACCUAGUUUCCUUUUUUUUUUUCUUGUUAAAAAAGGUUUUUAGUUAAAAUAUCUGGGAAAACUAAACUGAUUUCUUUCAUUUGAAGAAGAUUUCAAGCAUCCUCUGGGUUUGUUCUUUCAUGAGAUGAAGUGUGCGAAAAAUCAUCUGCAUGCUAAACUCAUAAUCGUAGGAGAUGGAAGGCAAUGAGAACACUACCCAAAAGCUCUUGUGAAUUGUUGGCCCAUAACCGCUGGUUGAGGAGGCAGGUUCUGUACUUGGAAUGAUUUCUAUUGGUGAAUCAAGUAUAAUACGUAGUUUGCUGCAUCUAUCUGAGCAUUGUAGGUGAAGGAUUACUACAAAAUUUUGGAGGUUGAUUAUGAUGCAACGGAUGAGAUGAUAAGAUUAAAUUACCUAAAGCUUGCGCUGGUUAGUGGUGCAUCUACUAUGAGCAGCUUCUUAUAAGUGGCAUCCUGAUAAACACAGAGGUGAUAGUACUGUUACUGCAAAAUUUCAGGAGAUCAAUGAAGCUUACAAAGUGUUGAGUGAUCCAGCUAAACGAUCUGAUUAUGAUUUAACUGGAAUAUAUGAGAUUGAUAAGUACACUCUACGGGAAUAUCUUGCCAGAUUUAAAGGAAUGAUACUUACCUGCAACGGGCUUGGUAUCGGUCAUACAUCAAUGUGGACACAGCAACUGACUGAAGCCAAUGAAUUUGCAGAAAAAUAAGUGAGCCAAAAAACCCUGGUAUCAGCUGACCUGGAUGCUGUGAUGAUUGAAUCAGGGAUUGAGAUAUCAAAGGAUGUUGCAAGAGCAGCAACUCUUUCUUAAUCUGAAGAGGGAGGUAUAUCUGUCUGUUUGUAUUAAUAUGUUACUGAAUAUUUGGAGAAUCAGUGAGUCUUCUCUUCUCACUCAUUUUAUAUGGAAGAUGCAUUGCUCAGAGUCUGAUACACCACAGUUUUUAGAUAAACUCUGAGGCAAUCACACUUGUGAUCUUGUUUGUUUGUAUCAUUCUUCUUGUAUAAUACCAUUUAUUUGGCUGGUCCUGUGGUCUCAACUUAGGCCAUGUUUGGCUUGAGGUUGGGAGAGGUUGAAAUGAUUUUAAAAGAAAAAAAAAUAAAAGUUUUUUUUUUUUUUAAUGUUUA